UCCAGACUCCUACGGGAGGCAGCAGUGGGGGAUAUUGCACAAUGGGGGGAACCCUGAUGCAGCGACGCCACGUGAAGGAAGAAGUAUUUCGGUAUGUAAACUUCUAUCAGCAGGGAAGAAAAUGACGGUACCUGACUAAGAAGCCCCGGCUAACUACGUGCCAGCAGCCGCGGUAAUACGUAGGGGGCAAGCGUUAUCCGGAUUUACUGGGUGUAAAGGGAGCGUAGGCGGUAAUGCAAGUCAGAAGUGAAAGCCCGGGGCUCAACUCCGGGACUGCUUUUGAAACUGUGUUACUAGAUUGCAGGAGAGGUAAGUGGAAUUCCUAGUGUAGCGGUGAAAUGCGUAGAUAUUAGGAGGAACCCCGGUGGCGAAGGCGGCCUGCUGGACUGCAACUGACGUUGAGGCCCGAAAGCGUGGGGAGCAAACAGGAUUAGAUACCCUAGUA
rnacentral:rRNA from 1 species